rnacentral:rRNA from 1 species
CUUCAGAGUAUAUUUAAAAGAAUACCGUGCAACAAUAAAGGUGCAGAGUUAAAAAACAAUGCAGCAACUUUAUGUGCAAACAAAGUAUUCAAUAUAUACUCAUUAAAGUGAAACGCAAUUAAGCAGACAGAUCACUCCACGAACUAAGAACGGCCAUGCACCACCUAUCACGCAAUCAUGAAAGGACUAGCAUACUUGAUAUAAGAAUUGCUAUAUAUAAUUAAAAAUAAUUAUAUAUAGUCUUAUAAAAACCUGUCAAUCCUCAGCGUGUUCGGACCUGGUAAGAUUUCCCGCGUUGGGUCAAAUUAAGCCACAUGCUCCACGCGUUCUUGUGGUGCCCUUCCGUCAAUUCCUUCAAGUUUCACACGUGCGU